rnacentral:lncRNA from 1 species
UACUCAAAGUGUGGUCCUCGAAUCAGCAGCAUCCAGGAGCUUGUUAGAAAUGCAGAAAGCUCAGUGCCUUCCCACCCACAUGUAUGAGUUUGCUAGGGCUGCCAUAACUAAGUAUCACACAGUGGACGGCUUAUACAACAGAAAGGUAUUUUCUCACAGUUCUGGAGGCCAGAAGUCCAAGAUCAAGGUGUCAGCAGGCACUUUGGGAGGCCAAGGUGGGCAGAUUGCUUGAGCUCAGGAGGUCAAGACCAGCCUGGGCAACAUGGCAAAACCCCAUCUUUACAAAAAUACGAAAAAUUAACUGGGCGUGGUGGUGUGCAUCUAUGGUCCCGGCUACUCAGGAGGCUGAGGUGGCAGAAUUACUUGAGCCCAGGAGGUGGAGGUUGCAGCGAGCCGAGAUCCUGCCACUGCACUCCAGCCUGGGCAACAGAGCCAGAUCCUGUCUCAAAAAAAAAAAAAAAAAGUGAGGGGUAGACACAGUUUGGCCCAUGACACCUACUAAAUCAGGAUUUAUAUUUUAACAAGACCCCCAAGGGACUUGUGUGCACAUUAAAGUUGGAGAAGGGCCAGGCACUGUGGCUUAUGCCUGGAAUCCCAGUACUUUGGGAGCCCAAGACAGAAGGAUUGCUUGAUCCCAGAAGUUCAAGACCAGCCUGGGCAACAUAGUGAGACCCCAUUUCU